UACAGAGGUCCCAAGCGUUGUUCGGAUUCAUUGGGCGUAAAGGGUGCGUAGGUGGCGCUGUAAGUCGGGUGUGAAAUUUCGGAGCUUAACUCCGAAACUGCAUUCGAUACUGCGGUGCUUGAGGACUGGAGAGGAGACUGGAAUUCAUGGUGUAGCAGUGAAAUGCGUAGAGAUCAUGGGGAAGACCAGUGGCGAAGGCGGGUCUCUGGACAGUUCCGUGACACU
rnacentral:rRNA from 1 species